CUCCACCGCCCAUACCCACCACAUACCUUGGGUCUAAAACACCCCGCGCCCACCACCCUCUGGGUAACGGGUACUCGACGAGUGACCCAUAUGUACUUCAACAUAGGUAAUGUGACAUAACAUCUAAUUAACAGUAAAAGCAACAUAAAACCAUCAUUUUAUUGAUACUUUUAGUCGUGUAAUAACUAAAUAAGACAAUGACACUGGUUUUAACUAUCACUUGUAAAUAGAUUCUCUCACCUCUUAUACACUAAAAAAUAGUUCCACAUGUCAUAUAAUUAGAGUCCCAAUGGGUAGAGGGUACGAGGAUCACAAGAAUGUACCCACACCCACCCCACCCGAUGGGUGAUGGAGUUACCCACUAAGAUACCCGUUGGGAAGAAAAGUCGUCAUCCUUAAUAGGGAUUUUACCUGUGGGUAAAUAAGUGAUGGAUACCCAUUGCAUCCCUACAUCCACCCAAAUGUUGUGGCCCCAUUUUUCAUUCACCUAUCUAGUAAUCCCACUCUUGACUCUGACCAUUAUCCGCCAAGCUAGUAACCAUGCUAUACCUCUAGCUGUCAUCCCCUUGGAGCUAGUUAGUAAACUUUAACCCCAGUUGUCAUCCGUCAAGCUAAUAAGUGUGCUAUGCCCAAUAUAUCGUGUUAAAUGAAUCAUGUGUAUAUCUCAUUUUUCAUGUUGAAGGAAUAUGUAGUGAACACACAUACUACCCAAAAAUUGUGAAAAAGAAACAAACAUGCAAAAUAGGCUUGCCUUAAUUUGUUGCCAUCUGCUAGCCUAGUAAGUAGUAAAUGCGUGUAGUUGCAUUAAUCUCUUACAAAUAUGAAUCAAGAAAAAACAAACAGGCAAAAGAGGUUUGCUACUGCUAGCCCCACCUCUCAUCUGCCAACCUAGUAAUAAGUAACCACAGCCAGUAGCGUAAAGCCCUCCCAAUAUGAAUUCAGAAAAAGAACAAGCUGAGGAAGGAGAGUCACUGGUGUUAGAUCUAAACAUUUGUUGGGCCGGACCAAAAAAUCCUUGCUAUAUUUGGGCAUAAAAAUCAUGCCCAAUCUCCUCCCAUGGGCAAGUUCUAGCUGAUCUUUUGGACCGUGGGCCCAAAAUAAAUAAAUUAAAUUAUUGAGGUACACUUGGGGCAUCGUGAUAUUUAUUGGGCCUGGUUUCUCUAACCAAGUUUGGCCCUACAUUUUGUGUGGACGGGCCAAAGCCUGAUGGGCUUGGAUUGGGCCAUCAGGCCAGACGUGCUUGAAAUCCUUAAGUCUAGCUGCCGUUUGGGCCUCGCUGUCAUCAACUUGCGUAGUAAAGGUGACAUUAAAGAGCUCCAAAUAUGAAUAAAGGUAAAAUAUAAAUAACCCCCCAGCUAGCUGUCAUCCGUCCAGCUAGUAACCUUGUUGUAGUCUGAGCUGUCAUCUGUGGAGUUAGUAUGCGUUCUCUAAGCCAACUGUCAUUCGGUCAUCGCACUGCUAGUAAUUGUGCCCUGGAUCCAAUUGUCAUCCGCAUGGUGCCGUGGCCCUAGCUAUAAUAUGCCUAGCUAGUAAUAACCGUGCUCUAGCCCCAAUUUACAUCUGUCCCUAGUGCAGUGGCUCAAGCUGUCAUUCACCUAGCUAAUAACUGUUCUCUAGUCCAUGUACCAUCCAGGGAUGGCAACGGGUACAUACCCACCGGUGAUAGGUAAAAGACUCCGCCAUCCAUACCUAUCACCUACCUUGGGUCUAAAACUCCCUACACCCACAACCCUUUGAGUAACGGGUACUCGACGAGUGACCCAUAUCCAGUUCAACAUAGGUAAUGUGACAUAACAUCUAAUUAACUACAAAAGCAUCAUAAAACCAUCAUUUUAUUGAUACUUUUAGUCGUGUAAUAACUAAAUAAGACAAUGACACUGGUUUUAACUAUCACAUGUAAAUAGAUU
rnacentral:lncRNA from 1 species